rnacentral:lncRNA from 1 species
ACUUCUGUUUCUGAACCAGAGUGGGUUCUCAGAGUCUUGGCUUUCUUUCUGCAGCCUGUCUGCCUCCUAAGCAGCUGAGAUUGUUUCCCCACUACAGAUGAGUGAUAAGCUGACUGCACCCUCACGGAUAAUUCUAUCAACUCCUGGGACCAUCGCAUAGAGGGUGCUUGAGACAUGCUGCACUGGACGAUGCACACACCCCAUCUCUCCAACAUGACUAGGCCACCAGGAUGCAUCACAGUCCUGACCCCAAUGCAGGAGACUGAAAGUCACCAAGGACUGAGACAUGCUGUCGAGCCACAAUCAGAAGAGAAACUGGAGUUGAAGAAGAGCCAGGUCUGGCCACACAGAGAAGUGAAAACCUCCAUUUAAUGGUCAGAGGCAAAGUACAAAGUUAGGCAUCAGAGAAGUGUUCCGUUUUGGUCACUAUUAUUUCUUAAGAAUCUUUCUGAACACUCCAGAACUAAAGGACUAGAAGUCCAGGGCCCUUGCUCUCAGUGUCUGAUUAGCUGCUGUCAUCUGCCUCGAAAGCUGCCCCAUGGUUUUUUCCAUCCUUGCUAGCAGCACAAACCAACUGGUUUAGCCUAACAUUGAUAAAACUACAGAAUCUCAGAUUUGGAAGGAUGCUUUUAAAGCAAAUAGCCAAGCUCCUAGCUAAUUUUCUAAUUUUGUUGCUACAAGAAUAAAGAAUUUAAUGUGGGUGUGGAGGGAGAGUUAUUUGAGUCCAUUUUUCUUCUGGUCUUUCCCCUUUUCCAAGUAUAUAGGCAAUCCUGCACUCAUUGCCUCAGGGAGGGGAGGCAAUUAGUCAGAAGAUAUAAAUAGCCAAUUGGCACUUUUUGUCUCUGUGUUUUAAAAGAGGGAACUUAGAAUUUUGGGGAUGAUGUCAAGAUCAAAUGUGUGGGAGAAACAGAGGUCAAAGAGCAUUGACUUCCUCCACCCACCACCUAGAAUAGGAUUCUCUGAGGUCUGAGGCAUGGAGAGUGAAGAGCAGAUAAUGAUGAGAACAGACAGAAUGAGGGGUUCAAGAGCCAGGUUCCCUUCUUUCUGGGCAGUAGGUAGCAAUACCCCAAAGCAGGAGGUAGCAAUACCCCAAAGAGGAGAUGGCUUCGUGCAGGGUCUAGGCACACCAGUUCAUUGCCUCUUAAAGAUUUCUGGUGUGAACCUGGGAGGCGAAGCUUGCAGUGAGCCGAGAUCGCGACGCUGCACUCCUGCCUGGGCGACAGAGCAAGACUCCGGCUCAAAAACAAACAAACAAACAAACAAACAAAAACCAAACAAGAUUUCUGGCCCUCAAGCUAUGCAGCAAAAUAUCUCUGUGAGCCUCCAGUUCUAAAAGGCCAUGCUGCAAGCCAAAUACUCUCUCAGGGUAACUCAAUGGGAACAGAUGGCUCAGGGACCAGAAGGCUCACCCUCCCUCAAUGUACUGCUAAAGGCACUAAGUAAAUCCCAACAGGGUCUUUGUCUCAACCCCCGGGAAGAAGAGAGAAACCAAUAAUAAUCGGAGAGUGUUACCCUUAGCCUGCUAGUACAAAGAUAAAACAUCAAAUUGAGUUAGAGGAAAUGUUAUUUUUCUAGAUCAAUGCAGUCUAUGGACUGAGAUUCAUAGAUCUACUAUACACAUAAACACAUGUAAAACUACUUAACACAUAAAAUGUUACCUAUAUUAUUAGCAAUGUAAUAUUAUCAGUGAGUUGAAAGUCAGCUACAAAAUCUGAAUGUCAAUUGACCUCCACGUGGUUAUCUUAUGUCCAGAUGGAAAAACGUUGGUUCAACUCAUUGUCUUUUUAAAAUCCAUUCUUAAAAGAGAAAAUAUUAAUUAAAGAUUCAUUGUCACUUUAGGAGAAAGAGAAAAGAAGAAGGUGGAGUAAGUGUCUAGCUUUAUUCCACAGGAAUUUGUCCUCGUCUCUGCUUCAUUCAGCACUCUGACAAUUCCCUGGCAAAGUGUAGAAUGUAUAUGCAUCUCCAUUAGAUUUUUUCGUCUGCUAGAUUUGACUAUUUGUUUCAACUACGCUCCUUUUUUUUUUUUUUUUUUUUAAGAGAUGGAGUCUUGCUCUGUUAUCCACCCUGGGGUGCAAUGGCACAGUCAUAGCUUACUGUAAUCUUGAACUCCUGGGCACAAGUGAUCCUCCCACCUCAGCCUCCCAAAGUGCUGAGAUUACAAGUGUGAGCCACUGUGCACAGCCCAAUUAUGCUACUUUUGAGUAUUAAUUAAGACAACUGAGAUUCUGGCUGCCCACCCAACAUCACAUUAUGCUAAAUUUAAGCACCAUAUGAAUGUACUUCUUUAAUAACUUCUUUACUAUUUUCCUUGUUCUUCCACUUUACUAUUUCUGCAAACCUCCUAAUAUAGACCAUUCAGUCUAUCUCCCUUUUCCUCUCCUACACCCUGCUAGCUCAGCAUGAGCUGCUGGAGAAAACUCCCACAUCAGUGCAGAUUGGUGUCACAACCGAAGCAAGGCUUCCAAAUGCAGCUGGCCAUCAGCAUUUCACAGGAAUGGCUCUCCUCCCUUGGCCAGUGGCAUCACUCUCUCCUGAUUCUCCUCCUACCUCCCCGCUUUUUGUUUCUCUGUCUUCUUUAUAAGCUCUUUUUCUUCUUUUCUUAGAUAUUCAUUCUUCCUGCGUUCUGGCUGGGGCGCUCAUUCAACAUGCCCCUCCUGGGAAAUCUUAGGCAUUGUGAUAACUUUGACAAUCUAUACAAGCUAAUGAUUCCCAGAUCCUUAUCUCCAGCCUAGGGCCUUCUGAGCUCUGUGUCUGUAAGUUAAUAGACAUCUCUAGCUACAUCAUUAACACAUUUUAAACACAAGUCCUAAAAUUAACUCAUUUUCUAUUAUCUCAUCCAGCAACUCCUGUAUUUCCAAUUUUGAAAAAGCCCAUCUUUUUGUGUGGGCAUGUGUAUACUUGGUUUGAUCUCUGUUCCAUUCUUUCCGGAAUGUUUGAUUGUAUCCCAUGUUCAUUAACAGGUGAACAUAUUGGCUGUUUCUCCAAUAAAAAAUGAAACAGACCAUGUGUCUGCACCUAACUAGUAUUCAAUAAAUGGUUGCUGAAUAAGUGAAUCAUUUCCAUGAUCCACUAGUUUAAUAAUCUUAUCAAAAAAGACAAUAAGUAUACUGAUAAAACUUUCAUUUAAGAACCAAUGACCCCAAUUAUACUCAUUAUUUUCCUUUCCUAAAUGCUGAUGAUCAAUUCAUUUACUAUUUCACUUGGGGUACACAUCAAGCUUAUUGGUUUAUAAUUCAUAAAGUCAUGAGAAUGAGUAGACACUUCCUCUUCUUUCUUUUGGAAAUCAGAAUUAAAAUGGGUCUCUGUGGUUGUAAGGGAACAUGCUCAUGCUCUGUAAUUCCUCAUCGAUUGUCAUUUAUGUUUCCACAACCUUACCUGCCCUUUCUUCCAGGAACCAAUGACCUGGUUUAUACAAACAUGGCUAAUAUGAACUCAUUUGGAUAGCUCUUUGUGAUUCUUAGAUAAAUCUAAGAAUUUAGAUUCCUCUUACUAAUAUUUAUUUUUCCCUUCUGACUGAAAAUACUUCUCUUUGACCAAGAAGAAAAAAAUUCAAACACCAAUUCAAUAUUUCUCGAAUUUUUUUCCUAUUGUCUAUUAACAUUAAUUUUCCUUAAUCAAUAUUCUUUCCUUAUUUUUCUAACUCUAAAAAUGACUGUGAGACUCCACUUUUGUUGUCCUUUGUGCUUUUUGCAAACCUCUACUCAUUCUGGGUUUUAACUUUCCUGACUCGGCUUUUCCAGUUUCCCAACUCAGCUUUUCCAGUUUCCUGACUCCAUUUCUGCUUAGUUCCUUUCCUCUCCUUCCAGCUCACGGUUGCAUUAUUCUAAAAUUAGUAUUAAAAUGCCAAUAAAUGCCUUGACAAAUAAUAGUUAUUGAGCAUUUAUUAUGUGCGAGACACAUCACAUUCAAUUUUUUAAUUUUACCAUAACCCAGUGGAAUAGUUAUUACUAAGAUCCCUAUAUUAUACAUGAGGAAAUGAGACUUAAUGAGAUUCAGAAGUUUCCCAGUGUCACAGAGCUAGUAAACUACAGAUCCAGAGGCUUAAGCCCAGGUCUGAAUGACUAAAAGCCAAGACCCUACUGUCCAAGUUUAGUCUUCUUCUGUGUGAAAAGUACCAUAACACUGAGCUCACAAACUCAAAGGGUCCAGAAGCCAUGUACUAAAAUAGGAAAUGCACAUGGGUGAAGAGGGCCAAGUGUUUGCAUAGCAAACACGUUGGAAUAUUCUUUCCUUCCACAAACAUAUUUUUUCCUUUUUUUGUUAUCUUCACACUUUCAAGAUAAAUACAUAGGGAAAAAUAUUCUCUAAUUAUGCAAAAAGUAAUAAUGUGAGUUUGAUAAAUGGCAGUGGAUAUUCAGGUUAAGGUAAUCAACAAGAAGUAGGGGCACUGCUGUGAACAGAAAAGCAUAGUCCCCACUUCAGUGGUUCUCAAGGUGUGGACUCUGACUCUGACCAGCAGCAUCAGCAUCAUCUGGGAGCCUGUUAGAAAUGCUAAUUUCGGGGCCCCAUCCCAGACCUACUGAAUGAGAAAUUCUAGGGUGGGGCCCAGAAAACUAUGGCUUAACAAGCCCCCCAGGUGAUUUUGAUGCACACUCAGGAUUGAGAAACACUGCCGUACCUAAAGGGAAUACCUCCCGCUCCUCUCCAGCUGAUUGUUUCCAUGUGGGGAGUAUGGAUCUUAGGUCAUCAGUGCCUCCAUGUUCAAAGGGAAGCAGAAGUCUCCAUUAUUUUAAUUCUCCCAAUUAUUAAAUACUGCUUCAAAUGUUUUUAAUAUGCAAUAGAUGAAACAAAACACAUGUAGGCUACUUCUGGCCUAUAGACCAUUCAGUAAAUGACCACUGAACAGAACCUAAGUUAUAUUAAACAUUAGAAUUAUUUUACUAGUAACUACUUAUGGAAAUAUCAAUUAAUUGGCAAAUGAAGGAAAGUCUCCUUUUCAUUAUAACCACUUGUUGUUUGGGAGAGCAAUCUGCCCACCUUAUAAUAACAUUUGAUAGAGUUUAAAUGUUUUGAUCAAGGUUUUUUUUUUUACCCUGCCUGGAAUUUUCAAGAUAUGAUUCAUGUUUGUAUUGUAAUUUUAAGUAUUAUGAACUAAAACAUUAGCUCUAAGUGAUAUGGACAGGAGGCAGGGAAAUGCUGGGUAGAAAAGGAUUGUUCCCCAGCAAAGGCCCCAACUUCAAGCCUGGAAACCCGAGGCCCUAAAUGAGAACAGGCAUUCCUGUUUUUGCACCCAAAAGUUGCCUUUUGGCCCACCACACUCCCUAUCCUGUACCCAUAUAAACCCCAAACUCCAGGCUCCAUGAGCAGAUGAACAGAAGAGCAGAAGAGCAGCAGAAUGGUGGAGCAGAGAAAAGAGGAGAUGGAGCAUCUGAACAUCGAGAGGAGUUUGGCUGGGGCUGGUUGGAGAGGAUAUCGGCUGCUAGAUGGCCAAACUCCAGGGAAAGAUCAUCUUCCCACUCCAUCCCCUUUCCAGCUCCCCAUCCAUCCCACUGAGAGCCCCCUCCACUACUCAUAAACCCCCCACAUUCACCAACCUUCAAGUCCAUGUGUGACCUGACUCUUCCUGGAUGCCAGACAAGAACCCAGGUACCAAGGGGUCACUGAGCUGGUUAACACUUAAGCCACAGACAGCAGAGCUAAAAGAGCACUGUAGCACACCCACUGGGGCUUUGCGAGUCAGAGGCACCAACCACUAGAUGCUACCAUGGGGCCAGAGCUCAAAAGCACUCGCUCCAGCUCCUGCACCUACCUGUCUCUGUGCUCUCCAUCCCGUAAGGGGUUUGAGUGCACAGCGGCCAAACAGAUGAGCCACACCCCUGUUGCAUGUCCUGCAAGGGGGGUCAGGGAACUCUCCUGUUUCAUAAGAUUUAAAUGGCAGCUCAUAAACUAACAUAUUUUAUGAAACUUUUUUUCAUUUUAAUAAUGCGGUGUGUAUGUGUGUAUGUAUAGGAUAUGCUGAAGACUUUCAAAUCAAAUAAAUCUAGUUCUAUGUUUUAAUCAGCCUGUGAAAGGCCUCUAUCCAAUGUUUUAUGAUUUUGAGCUUUAAUCAUAGAUGAAUACCUCUGAGAACCUGCCAAUACAAGAAUAUUGCCCGUGGAUCAAGCAGAGUUUGGGUCAAAGUGUUUCAGGAAAAGGAGCAUCAUGCAUGAAGGUCCCAACAUGGUACGGUUGGCGUAUUUGAGAAUGGAAAUAAGAUCACUGUAAAGAACAGCCCAGUAUGAGGUUGCAGAAGUACAGAGAGCCCAGAUUGUAGAAGGCCUUGUAGACUUCAGUAAGGACUGGGGUAUUUAUUGUAAGGACAAUGAGAAACCACUGACAGAUUUCAAAACAGCCAUGAUUCCCUAAACAUUUAAUCAUUAAAAGAUCAGUUUGGUUAUAUUAUGGAGACUCAAUGAGAAAGAGUAGAUAUAAAGCAGAUCAGUUAGAAAGUUAUUCCAGGAGUCCUGUUGGGAUGUGGUGCCGUGUUGGUGGUAAUAAAAAUAAAGACAAUUUCACAGAUUUAAUAAGUGCAUGGGAAGUCAAAUUGAUAUGGUUAUUGUGGUUACUGAUCAGACUUCAAUAAACCAAAAGGCCGUGGUGCCAAGGGCCAUCCCUAGAGCCAGCCUGUAGCAUUCAUGCCCCAGCCUGCUCUGACUACAAAGCUGAUGCUCUAUAAAAAUCCAGUCUUCUUCCAGCUCCCUCAAUCCAUGCCUGGGCCAAGCUCCAGAUUCACAGGCCUUGUGCUCUACAUUUGCAUGUGUGUAUACUAGACUAAAGCAACUGCCA